CACUACACAACGUUUGCCGGCUAAAAAUUUCGCACGCAACCUGCUUGCAACUCGAGUUGUACUGUGUAAUCAAGCACACAACUCACCUACGACAACGUGAGCGAGUCGUGUGCUUGAUUUACACAGUACAACUCAAGUUGUAAGCGGGUUGCAUGCGACAGAUUUAGGCAAAAGUUGUGUAGUG